UUAGUUCUUCAUGAGAAUUUUUUGCCAAAGCUUUCAAGUAUUUCGUGAAUAGUCAUUAUCCUCCUGUUAUGCGGCUGCUAGGUAAAUGGAAAACAAGGAAUUUGGUUUACAACCCAACUGGAUCGAAAACAUAACCCAAACCCAAAACUAAUGAUCCAAAACUUAAAUAAAACUAAUGUUGCAACUUGAAACAAAAUUCUGGAAUUUUGAGCUUCAAAUCUGACUUCGACUCCAACACGAAAGUCGUAGCUCUCUCUCU
rnacentral:lncRNA from 1 species